rnacentral:rRNA from 1 species
CGGAAUCUGCCUAUUUGUGGGGGAUAACGUAGGGAAACUUACGCUAAUACCGCAUACGACCUACGGGUGAAAGCGGAGGACCUUCGGGCUUCGCGCAGAUAGAUGAGCCGAUGUCGGAUUAGCUAGUUGGCGGGGUAAAGGCCCACCAAGGCGACGAUCCGUAGCUGGUCUGAGAGGAUGAUCAGCCACACUGGAACUGAGACACGGUCCAGACUCCUACGGGAGGCAGCAGUGGGGAAUAUUGGACAAUGGGCGCAAGCCUGAUCCAGCCAUGCCGCGUGGGUGAAGAAGGCCUUCGGGUUGUAAAGCCCUUUUGUUGGGAAAGAAAAGCGGUCGGUUAAUACCCGAUUGUUCUGACGGUACCCAAAGAAUAAGCACCGGCUAACUUCGUGCCAGCAGCCGCGGUAAUACGAAGGGUGCAAGCGUUACUCGGAAUUACUGGGCGUAAAGCGUGCGUAGGUGGUUUGUUAAGUCUGAUGUGAAAGCCCUGGGCUCAACCUGGGAAUUGCAUUGGAUACUGGCAGGCUAGAGUGCGGUAGAGGGUAGUGGAAUUCCCGGU